rfam:Citrus clementina cultivar Clemenules unplaced genomic scaffold scaffold_2, whole genome shotgun sequence.
CACUGCCCGUCACACUAUGGGAGCUAACCAUGCCCAAAGUCAUUACCUUAACCAUAAGGAGGGCGUGCCGAAGGUAGGGCUAGUGGCUGAAGUGAAGUCGUAACAAGGUAGUCGUACUGGAAAAUACGGCUG